UGCCUGUUCUGUUUACAUUGGAGCUGGGGAAAUUCUCCAAGGUUCAUAUUUAUCCGUGUGCUUAGCGAAGGGACUGAACUUUGGACUUCAGCCCUGCAAAGUGCAGGCCUCAUGGCAGCGGAGAGGGACAGGGAGCUAUGGCCUGCGAUGGGAGUGGGCAGAGGGGAGGGUGGGGGAGGCGCAGGUGAGGGGCCCUGAGCAGCUGGGAUGGAAGGUGCUGGGAGCCAGGGAGGCCAUCAGGAGAGCAGCGUUGGGUCCCACCCCCGAAAGAACCUUGUAGGGGCAUCAUGCUGAGACAGGAGAGCCAAAAAUGCUUGCUGCUUACGAGAGCGGCAGCAGCAGGGAGCUCUAGACAGCUGGGCUAGCUCUUCUCAAGGGCAGAGGAUGCUCACGGCCAUUUUGGGGCCCUUCCAUCCAUUUUGGGACCCUUCCACCCCACUCCCGGCCUGACACCAGGCCUCCCUGUAGGAAAAAAUAUGUUAAGAUUACCAUGUGCCAAGAACAGUGCUGGCUCUGUGAGGGCGAAUUCACUUCAUUGCAUUCUGCUACCAACUGUGAGCAGUUACAGAGAUUAUCCCCAUUUUAUAGAGGAGGAAAUCGAGGCUCUGAGCGGUUAAGUAACUUGUCCAGGGUCAUACAGCCAGCAAGGCAGAAAACAUGCAAGGUGAGACUGAGUUGGGAUGAGUGUGACACUUGCCUCAGGUGCAAAUUUAUUUUUUUAUUUUUUGAGCUAUGUUCUCACUUUGUCACCCAGGCUGGAGUGCUGUGGCGCGAUCAUGGCUUACUGCAGCCUUGACUUCCUGGGUUCAGGUGAUCCUCCCGCCUCAGCCACCCAAGUACCCAAGUAGCUGGCACUACAGGCACGCACCACGACACCCAGCUGAUUUUGUGUGUGUGUGUUGUGUGUGUUUGGGUUGUGUGUGUGUGUGUUUUUGAGACAGAGUCUCACUCUGUCACCCAGGCUUGGAGUGCAGUGGAGCAAUCUUGGCUCACUGCAACCUCCGCCUCCCAGGUUCAAGCGAUUCCCCUGCCUCAGCCUCCGGAGUAGCUGGGAUUACAGGCACAUACCACUACACCCGGCUAAUUUUUUUGUAUUCUUUAUUGAGUUGGGGUUUCACCAUGUUGGCCAGGCUGGUCUUGAACUCUUGACCUCAAGUGAUUCGUCCGCCUCGGCCUCCCAAAGUGCUGGGAUUACAGGUGUGAGCCACUGUGCCCGGCCUUGUGUGUGUAUUUUUUGUGGAGACAGGGUCUUGCCAUGCUGCCCAGGUUGGUCUCAAACUCCUGGACUCAAGCCAUCCGCCCACCUCAGCCUCCCAAAGUGUUAGGAUUACAGGCGUGCGCCACCAUGCCUGGCAGCCCAGGUGCAAAUUUUAAGGGAAUGCCAAAAAACCCAGUCAUCAAGGUAAAUAACAUUUUUAUGCAAUAUGUUUUUAAAAUUAAAAUGAAUGCAAAACCCCAAAGAAUUAAAAACAGAUGUCUAUACAAAAACUUGUGCGUGAAUGCUCAUAGCAGCAUUAUUCACAAGAGCCAAAAAGUGGAAAAAACAUAAAUAUUCAUCACCUGAUGAAUAUAUAAACAAAAUAUGGCUUGACCAUGCAAUGGUAUAGACAUAUAUAUUUUUUUCUUUCUUUUUUUUUUUUUUUGAGAUGGGGGUCUCGCUCUGUUGCCCAGGCUGGAGUGCAGUGGUGCAAUCUUGGCUCACUGCAACCUCCGCCUCCCGGGUUCAAGCAAUUCUCCUGCCUGAGCCUCCCGAGUAUCUGGAACUACAGGUAUGUACCACCACGCCCAGCUAAUUUUUGUAUUUUUGGUAGAGAUGGGGUUUUACCAUGUUGGCCAGACUAGUCUCGAACUCCUGACCUUAGGUGAUGCCCUCGCCUUGGCCCCCCAAAGUGCUGGGAUUACAGGCAUGAGCCACCGCAUCCAGCCAAUGCAAUGGUAUAUUAUUUGGUCAUAUAAAGGAAUGGAGUUCCAGUACAUGCCACAACAUGCAUGAGCCUUGAAAACAUGAUGCUAAGUGAAAAAGUGGUCACUAAAGACUACAUAGUGUGUGAGUCCAUUUAUCUGAAAUGUCCAGAACAGGCAAAUCCAUAGAGACAGGAAGUGGAUUUGUGGUUGUCAGGGCCUGGGUGGGAGAAGGGAAUGGGGAGUGGCCACUCCAUGGUGCUGGGUUUCUUUAGGAUGAUAAAAAUGUUCUACAAUUGAUUGUGGUGAUAUCGGACAACUCUGUGACUUUAUUAAAACCCAAUGAAUUGCACAUUUUAAAAGGGCGAGUUUGAUGGUAUGUAAAUCAAUAAAAAUAUUGUUGUAGCUUUAUUGAGAUAUACUUACCAUACAAUUCACCCAUUUCAUGUGUGCAAUUCUGAUUUUUUUUUUCAUUUUUAUUUAUUUUUAUUUUUUGAGACAGGGUUUGGCUCUGUUGCCCAAGCUAGAGUGCAAUGGCAUGAUCUGGGCUCACUGCAACCUCCGCCUCCUGGGCUCAAAUCAUCCUUCUACCUCAGCCUCCCGAGUAGCUGGGACUACAGGUGUGCACCACUGCACCCAGCUAAUUUUUUUUUUUUUUUUUUUUGUAUUUUUGGUAGAGACGGAGUUUCACCAUGUUGCCCAGGCUGGUCUCAAACUCCUGGACUCAAGAGAUCCUCCCAUCUCAGCCCCACAAAGUGCUGGGAUUACAGGUGUGAGCCACCAUGCCCGGCCUCAAAAAAUAUUUUUUAACUAAUGUAAAAUAAUCUGUGCUGAACAAAAUAGCAAACAUCUAAAUACAGGCCCUGUGGCCAGGCACAGUGGCUCAUGCCUGUAAUCCCAGUACUUUGGGAGGCCGAGGUGGGUGGAUCACCUGAGGUCAGGAAUUUGAGACCAGCCUGGCUAACAUGAUGAAACCCCAUUUCUACUAAAAAUUUAAAAAGCUGGGCAUGGUGAUGCACGCAGGAGGCUGAGACAGGAGAAUCACUUGAACCCAGGAGGCGGAGGUUGCAGUGAGCCGAGAUCACGCCAUUGCACUCCAGUUUGGGCAACAAGAGCAAAACUCUGUCUCAAAAAAAAAAAAAAAAAAAAAAACAGGCCCUGCCCUCACCCACCAGCCACAUGUGGCUACCAAGCACUUGAAAGAUGGCUAAUGUCACUUCUUGAAAUGAUAAUUUUUAAAAAAUAUAUUGAGUUAAAUUUUUAAAUUAAGAAAAUUUUGGCCGGGCGUGGUGGCUAACGCCUGUAAUCCCAGCACUUUUGGGAGGCCAAGGUGGGUAGAUCACCUGAGGUCAGGAGUUCGAGACCACCCUGACCAAUAUGGUGAAACCCCAUCUGUAAUAAAAAUACAAAAAUUAACCUCAGGAGGCUGAGGCAGGAAAAUCACUUGAACCUGGGAGGCGGAGGUGGCAGUGAACCAAGAUCAUGCCACUGCACUCUGGCCUGGGUGAUACAGCAAGACACUGUCUCAAAAAAAAAAAAAAAAAAAAAAAAGACAAUUUAAAAGUUAACAUUUAGGCCGGGCGCGGUGGCUCACGCCUGUAAUCUCAGCACUUUGGGAGGCCGAGGUGGGCGGAUCACAAGGUCAGGAGAUUGAGACCAUCCUGCCUAACAUGGUGAAACCCCGUCUCUACUAAAAAUACAAGAAAUUAGCCUGGCGUGGUGGCGGGCGCCUGUAGUCCCAGCUACUUAGGAGGCUGAGGCAGGAGAAUGGCGUGAACCCAGGAUGCGGAGCUUGCAGUGAGCCGAGAUCGCGCCACUGUACUCCAGCCUGGGCGACAGAGCGAGACUCCCUCUCAAAAAAAAAAAAAAAAAAAAAAAGUUAACAUUUAGAAUAAUUUUAAAUUAGAUUUAAUUAAAAUAUUAUUUAUAUAUUAUACAAAUAUAAUGUUAUAUUUAGUUUAAAAUAAUUUGGUUUAAAUUAAAAUUUUAUUUAUAAAAAUAACUUUUUAUUUUAAAAAUUAAAGAAAAUAACUUCACCUGUUCCAUUUUACUUUUUAUUUUUUUAAGAGCCAGAUUCUUACUCUGUCACCCAGGCUGGCAUGAUCAUAGCUCACUUCAGCCUAGAACUCCUGGCUUCAAGCAAUCCUCCCACCUCAGCAUCCCAAGUAGCUGGAACUACAGGUACGCACCAUCAUGCCCAGCUUCAUUUAUAUAUUUAUCUUUUUUGUUUGUUUUUUGAGACAGGGUCUCCUUCUGUCGCCCGAGCUGGAGUGCAGUGGCACAAUCUUGGCAAACUGCAACCUAUGCUUCUGGGGCUCCCGUGAUCCUCCCACCUCAGCCUCUCCAAUAGCUGGGACUACAAGCGUGUGCCACCAUGCCUCGCUAAUUUUUGUAUUUUUUAGUAGAGACAAGAGUUUGCCACAUUGCCCAGGCUGGUCUCAAACUCCUGAGCCCAAGCCAUCUGCCCACCUCGUCCUCCCAAGGUGCUGGGAUUACAGGGGUGAGCCACUGCACCCUGCCUAUUUAUUUACUUUUCUUAGAGAUGGGGGUCUUGCUUUGUUGCCCAGGCUGGUCUCGAACUCCUGGGCUCAAGCAAUCCUCUCACCUCAGCCUCCCAAAGUGUUGGGAUUACAGGCAUGAGCCAUCUCACCUGGCCAGUAAUGUAUUUCACUCCAAGAACAACUCAUGAAUUAGGAACUGUUAUAAUCCCCCUUCUGCAGGGGAGGAAAGAGAGGCUCAGAGAGGUUAAAUGACUGCUCAGAGUCCCUCAGAGCUGGGCUUUAAGUCCACCUGAGGCAGGCGGACGGGCUGUGCAGGACAAGUUGGCAGCCCCCGCCUUAAGGAGAGUGGUACCCUCUUUCCUCCAGUGCAUUUAUGUUUUAUUUUUAUUUUUGAGACAGAGCCUCACUUUGUCACCCAGGCUGGAGUACAGUGGUGCGAUCUCAGCUCACUGUAACCUCUGCCUCCUGGGUUCGAGCAAUCCUCCUACCUUAGCCUCCUGAGUAGCUGGGACUACAGGCACACACCACCAUGCCUGGCUAAUUUUUGUAUUUUUGGUAGAGACAGGGUUUCACCAUGUUUGCCAGGCUGGUCUCAAACUCCUGGCCUCAAAAGAUCCACCCACCUCGGCCUCCCAAACUGUUGGGAUUAUAGGCGUGAGCCACCGUGCCCGGCCAAGUGCAUUUUUUUGUAAACCCCCGUGCAAGUUGCUUUGAGGUUGAGCAGCUUACUGCUGGGGACAGCAUUCUCAAGUCCAGGCUAAACAGGGAAGAUGCUGUGUGCUGUCCCUUUGUGGCUUUGAGGUUCUCCUGCUUAUUCUCUUUGCUGCCUGCAGCUGCCUCUUGGUGACUUUCCCUUUCCAGGGAGCCAGAGGAACCAAGGAGUGUUGGCCCUGACUCCUGCCCCCAGCAUGUAAACUCAUUAACUGCUGGGUCCUCAGGCAGUUAGGUGGCUGAGCAUUUGAGUCUGGGACGGCAGGUGGAUUUGGUUGGAGAGGGAAUGACAGAGAUUGGGGAGGAGCCUCCAGAGUCUAAAGAGAUAGGUACACAAGCAGAAAGUUCCAGCCCCCAGCCUGCCUUUCCCCCAUGCUCAGGGGACAAAGCUGAAUUAACUCGAGGUCAGGAAUGGCAUUUGCAUUUGCAUUCUUGAGAGUCACUGCAAAUAAGAGCUGUAGUCAUGGUGAGUGGUUAAGGCAAUGGACUAGAGAACCACUGAGAAAAAAAGCGAACAGUGGCUGGGCGCAGUGGCUCAUGCCUGUCAUCCCAGCACUUUGGGAGACCGAAGUGGGUGGAUCACUUGAGGUCAGGAGUUCGAGACCAGCCUGGCCAACAUGGUGAAAACCCGUCUCUACUAAAAAUACAAAAAUUAGCCAGGCUUGUCAGUGGGCACCUAUAAUCCCAGCUAGUCGGAAGGCUGAGGCAGGAGAAUCACUUGAACCCAGAAGGCAGAGGUUGCAGUGAGCUGAGAUCAUGACACUGCACUCCAGCCUGGGUGACAGAGAGAAACUCCGUCUCAAAAAAAAAAGAAAAAGAAAAAAAAAAAAAGGAACAGCCGGACAUGGUAGCUCAUACCUGUAAUCCCAGCGCUUUGGGAGACCGAGGCAGGUGGAUCACCUGAGGUCAGGAGUUCCAGAUCAGCCUGGCCAACAUGGUAAAACCCCAUCUCUACUAAAAAUACAAAAAUUAGCUGGAUGUGGUGGCGCACACCUGUAGUCCCAGAUACUCAGGAGGCUGAGGCAGGAGAAUAGCUUGAACCCGGGAGGCGGAGGUUGCAGUGAGCAGAGAUCACGCCACUGCACUCCAGCCUGGGCGAUAGAGUAACAAUCCGUCUCAAAAAAAUCUGAAAAUUAAAAAUUAAAAAGUGAACAGUUGUUUAGUAAGUGCAGUAGGUAGGCCAAGAUAACUAUUAAGUAUGUCCUAACAAGGUAGCUGCUUGAAAAAAAUAAUGCACAUAAAUUAAAAAAAAAAAAACUAUUUUCACUCAUUCUUAACUUCUCGUAUGGAUGUACUAACGGGAGGCCUGUGCCUGUUGGGCUGUCCACAGCUACUCAAACCUUGAGAUUAGAUUGGACGCUAUCUAAUCUCAUUUCCUGUUACACAAUAACUUCUGCAUGGCACUUGCUUUUAAUCAUGACAACUGCCAUACACUCAGCUUUACAAAAUCAUGUCAUUGUGGAAAGGAAGUUCCCUCCAUCUAACAUUCAAAUUUAACUAUCCUGAGCUGGUAGUUUGCAAGGUGUCCAACAGAUGUCACUGUGUUUCCUUCGCAAAUUCUCUAAAAUAGUCUGCUGUGUCCCGGGGCAUAGUAGAUAUUCAAGAAAUGGUGGCUAUGAGUUUUAUCACAAUUCUCUCCUACUGGGUGAGCAGCUGUUUGCAAGACUAAAAUUCGGGCGAGGCACAGGCUUCCCCUUGGUCUUAGCAGCUAGCACAAGACGAGUGUCCCUUCAGCCAGUCUCAGAGCUCUUUGGCAAUUCAACUGACCCUUGUCCUUCAGUCCAGACAAUGCCCCAGGGCCCACCUGCAUUCAAACUCGGACUGUUCUCCUUCCCACCCCUAUUAUCUUUUCAACUUUAUGGACAGUACAUGCAAUUUUCUCAUUCAUUUUCUCAUUUAACAUCUAACAGCUUCAUGAUAUCCCCAUUUUACAGAUAAGGAAACCAAGGCUUUAAGAGGAUAGGGACCCUAAUCGGCUAAGGCAGAAUUAGGAUUUGAACCCAGAUCCCCAUGACGCCAGAAUCUAAGCCUUGACCAAAUAUGUGUUACUAUUACUUUUGUUGUUGUUGUUGUUCUGGGUAACUCCAACCCUCUGCUCGUUGGCCUUGUCACCUCAGUGCUGAUUUUGCAGAUGAAGAGACUAAGGUUCCGAGGUGCUAGAGCACAGUGGUUAGGAACACACACUCUAGAGCCAGAGUGCCUGGGUUUGAGCCUCGUUCUGCCGUUUACUAGCCGUAUGGCCUUGGGCAACUUGCUUAACUUCUCUUUGCCUCAGUUCCUCUUCUCUUGGGUUGUUAGGAGAAUGAAUGAGGUGAUAUCCACAGUGUCCAACACCCUGCAAGCGGCCAGGUGUGGUGGAUCACACCUGCAAUCCCAGCACUUUGGGAGGCCGAGGCAGGUGGAUCAUUUGAGGUCAGGAGUUCGAGACCAGUCUGGCCAACAUGGCGAAACCUCAUUUCUACUAAAAAUACAAAAAUUAGCCGGGCGUGGUGGCAAACAACUGUAAUCCGAGCUACUAGGGAGGCUGAGGCAGAAGAAUCGCUUGAACCCAGGAGACAGAGGUUGCAGUGAGCCAAGAUUGCACCACUGCACUCCAGCCUGGGCGACAGAGUGAGACCCUGCCUCAAAAACUAAAAAUAAAAAAUGAACAGUGUCCAACACCUUGAAAGCAUUCCGCAUGACUGAACGAUCACUGUUACGUGAUUACCAACAUGACGACCCCACUUCUCUUGGCCAAACUGAGUUCUCUUCUCUUGUAAAAACUUCUGCAUAUGAAGUCACCCAUUCCAUUUGACUCUUUAGCCCUCAUCCUGGCAUUCAAGGGCAUGGACGACUCAACCCCACUCUCUAGCCAGCCUGACCUCUCCAUUCCCUUCUCUGGCGUAGAGGCCACUCCCACCACCUGCCCUUACCCCCUGCCCACUUUUGUCAGCCUGUACUGUGUUGAAGCUCCCAGGAGAGACAACUGCAGUCAUCACUUUCCACUGUGUUCAGUGAUGUCAGUUCGGCCCAGCUGGAGGUACUCACAUCAUGGAAACAGACCAUCAGAUUUGGUGUGUGUGUGUUUUAUUUUGCUUUUUCAGAGAGCCAGCUGUUAAACACUAGCCAACACCCCAUUGAUGCUGUUCCUUCUACCUGAAACACCUCGCAUUGCCGGUGAGCUCUAAAGACAAAAGGACCUGGGUCUGCAUUUCCCAAAGGCAAGACUCUGGUAUCACCUGCAUAUUAUUUUCCCAUAUUUGAGCACCACUGCCUUUUGCAUUAUUUACUUAGCAGUUUUGCUCCUGUCAACUCACUUUUUUAAAACUAAACUUAUUUUAAAAAGAAAAGUUUUGGCCGGGAGCGGUGGCUCAUGCCUGUAAUCCCAGCACUUUGGGAGGCCGAGGUGGGCAGAUCACCUGAGGUCGGGAGUUCGAGACCAGCCUGACCAACAUGGAGAAACUCCGUCUCUACUAAAAAUACAAAAUUAGCUGGGCGUGGUGGCGCAUGCCUGUAAUCCUAGCUACUCGGGAGGCUGUGGCAGGAGAAUUGCUUGAACCCAGGAGGCGGGGGUUGCAGUGAGUCGAGAUCGCCCCAUUGUACUCCAGCCUGGGGAACAAGAACGAAACUCCGUCUCAAAAAAAAAAAAAAAAAAGAAAAAGAAAAGAAAAGCUUUAUAUAAUUUUAAUACUCAAAAAAACAGUAUCCCGGCCAGGCACAGUGGCUCACACCUGUAAUCCCAGCAAUUUGGGAGGCCAGGCAGGAGGAUCACUUGAGGCUAGGGGUUCAAGACCACUUGAGGCUAGGGCCAACAUGGUGAGACCCCGUCUCUACUAAAAAUACAAAAAUUAGCCAGGCAUAGUGGCACGUGCCUGUAAUCCCAACUACUCGGGUGGCUGAGGAACAAAAAUCACCUGAAUCCAGGAGGCGGAGGUUGCUGCGAGCCGAGAUCGUGCCACUGCACUUCAGCCUGGGUGACGGAGUGAGACUCUGUCUCAAAAAAAGAAAAAGAAAAAGAGUAUCCCUUGCCAUAAAUAGCAAGCAGUCAUUCAGACAUGGAAAUGAGGCAUUCACACUUGUUCUUGUUUCACACUAAGGCCCUAAGCCUAAGGAGGGUUUCUCUAUGUUGAAAGGAAAUUAGGCAGUGUUCAGAGGGGUGUUAAAGAUAGACUAGCAACUAAUUGAAACUUUCUCCUCAAUGUAAGCACUUUAGAAGGGACUGAAAAGAGAAUGUUCUCCCUACAUGUACCAUAUCACCUACAAUUACCUCGUGUACCACUAUUUUGCAAAUAAAUGCCAGAGGCAAGAGUACAUUUUGAUGCUUUAGCCUAGCACUCAAAGCCCUCCUCGAUUUGAAUCUUUCCAGCCUCAUCUUGCACAGCCCCUCCAUACCCAGACCUCACCCACUCUAUUUGCCAUCUCCAGAACAUACCCCUAACUUUCUCACCUCUGUGCCUUUGUGCAAGCUGCUCCCUCUACCUGGAAACCUCCAUUUGUCAAGCUGCUGCUGUCUUCAAGAUCUACCUGGUCAGAAUCUCCUGCUGUCCUCUUCUGCCACCCACAGCAAUGUGAGCCUUCACUGGCUGGCCUUCCCUACUCACUGGAGCAGAGCUACGGCAUCAGAAUGCCCUGGAGCAGGGGUUAGAAACACAGAUUUCUGAGUCUACACUCGAAGAUUUUUUUUUCUUUCUUUCUUUUUUUUUGUUUUCCAAUUUUUCUAAUUUUAGAGAUGGGGUCUCACCACGUUGCCCAGGCUGGUCUCAAGCUCCUGGACUCAGGUCAUCCUACCACCUAGGCCUUCUAAAGUGUUAGGAUGAGCCCUGAACCUUGUAACAUGAACAUUUAUUAGUUAUAUCUGGAAAAAAAUAUAAAGUUAUUUUUAUUUGGGUGAUACUGCCUUCAAAAAACAAAAACAAAAAAAAACAGGAGGCCGAGCACAGUGGCUCAUGCCUGUAAUCCCAGUGCUUUGGGAGGCUGAGGCAGGCGGAUCACUUGAGACCAGGAGUUCAAGACCAGCCUGGCCAACAUAGUGAAACCCCGCUUCUAUUAAAAAUACAAAAAUGGGCCAGGCACGGUGGCUCAUACCUGUAAUCCCAGCACUUUGGGAGGCCGAGGCGAGUGAAUCACGAGGUCAAGAGAUCAAGACCAUCCUGGUAAACAUGGAGAAACCCUGUCUCUACUAAAAAUACAAAAAUUAGCUGGGCACGGUGUCACGUGCCUGUAGUCCCAGCUACUAGAGAAGCUGAGUCAGCGGAAUCGCUUGAACCCAGGAGGUAGAGGUUGCAGUGAGCUGAGAUUGCACCACUGCACUCCAGCCUGGGCGACAGAGUGAGACUCUGUCUCAAAAAAAAAAAAAAAAAAAUUAGCCAAGUGUGGUGGCACAUGCCUGUAAUCCCAAUUACUCGGGAGGCUGAGGCAGAAGAAUUGCUUGAACCUGGGAGGUGGAGGUUUCAGUGAGCCAAGAUCGCACCACUGCCCUCCAGCCUGGGCAAUAGAGCAAGACUCCAUCUCACAAAAUAAAAAGCCAAAAAAAGCUCUCGACAGUUCUGUUCCCCGCCUGAGGUGUUUGUCUCAGGAUCCCGGCCUGGCUGUGGGCCACAGAUGGCAAAAACCAAGGUCCGUCUAUUACUGGGCAUCCAGGGUUUCAUAAUCUCUACGACCUCCAUGCCUGGAACUCCACACAUUGCGCAUGCCCCAGAAACGCUUGCCCAACGGACCCCAAUCCACCAUUUCUGAAUGCAUUUUUCAUGACUUGCUGAAUGUGUCUUGUUAAUCCAAUUAGAUUGUAAACUCCGGGAGUGCAGGGACAACGUUGACCUUCCUAUUACUCCCCUCACCCCCGCCCAGCUCUGGGCUGGGCACACAGUGACCCUCAAGGGUAGCACAAAGACUUGAGGCAAGAAAAACACCUGUAGAAGGAAAAGGCUGGAUACUGGGAGCGCCUCUGUCUGCUUUGCUGCCAUCCUCUUCUUCAACAACAAAGGACACGCUAAUUCUAUGCAGCAAAAGUUUCCAAACACGUUAGCCUAAGAAUUUCGAGUCAUGCAAAAAAUAAAUUCCCAGAGUCACAGGGUUAAAAAAAAUCAGAUUCCAGGGCCCCAUCCUUGUUGUUCCUGAGUCAGACUCCCCAGUCAAACUGCCAGAGAACCUCGUCUUUGAACAAACACUUCAGGCAACUUUCCCAGGAUAAAGCAAGUUUCAGAAACUCUCACACAGCUUCUUAGGUAUCUCAGAUAUGGCUCUUGCCCUCCAGAUGUUUACAAAUGAAAACAAGAAAUCUGGUUCCAACAAGCAAAAGCCCAGAGAGACCUCAAACACAAAGAUGCAAAUCAAAAUUAGUAGAGAAAUAAAUGAGCCGGGACGUUGUACUUCGGUCGCGGGGCUGGCUGAGGUCACUACCUGCACAGCCGACUGUUGGAAGUUCUGCGGUAUACCAGCUGAAUGGCCUUGAACAAGUCCCAUCUCCACUCGGAGCCUCCGUUUCCGCAUCUGUAGAAUGGGGAUAUGUGGGCCUAACUCACAGCGUUGUGAGAAUUCAACAAGAACACAUCAAGCAGCUGUGAAUGUAGCAAGCCGGCAUUUGAUUAAAUGUUAGUUUUCGUCCUAAGAAAAAUAGCUAAUAUUUCUGAGCACUUACGGCCGAGCCCUGAGCUAACAUUUACUUCCUCCUUUAACUCCCACAACAACCCAAUGAGGUAGGAUCUAUUAUUAUCCCCAUUUCACAGAUGCGGAAAUUAAGACACAGAAAGGUUAAAAAAAAAACACGCACAGGCCAGGCGUGGUGGAUCACCCCCUGUAAUCUCAGCACUUUGGGAGGUGGAGCCUGGAGGAUCGCUUGAGGCCAGGAGUUUGAGACUAGCCUGGGCAACAUAGCAAGACCCUGUCUCUAUAAAAAAAAAUUUAAAGCUGAGUGCAGUGGCUCACGCCUGUAACCCCAACACUUUGAGAGGCUGAGGCAGGUGAACUCUUGAGCCCAGGAAUUCAAGACCAAACUGGGCAGCAUAGUGAGACCCUGUCUCUUAAAAAAAAAAAAAUCAGCUGGGCGUGGUGGUGCAUGCCUGUGAUCCCAACUACUCGGGAGGCUGAGGUGGGAGGAUCGCUUGAGCCCAGGAGUUUGAGGUCUCAGUGAGCUAUGAUUGUGCCAUUGCGCUCCAGCCUGCACAACAGAGAAAGGUCUGUCUUAAAAAAAAAAAAAAAAAGAAAAGAAAGAAAAGAAAAAAGAACCCAACGUCUCCCAACCAGGAAAUGGCAGAGCUGGGAUUAGAGCCUAGAAAACCUAUCCUGUAGCCCCAGGAGGAAAUAGCCUCACGGGAGCAAAACCACCAGGUGUUUAGGACUCAUGAAAAUUAUACAUUGGCUUCUUUGGGAAAAGUGGCCCAUUCAGCUGAGCAGGACCCAAAAUAGCAAAAGGGCCAAGGACAGCCCGCCUGCCCUAGGUGUGGCCCCAGCCAGGAUUCCUAGCCCUGCGAGUUUUCCCAGAUUGGCCAACACACGUCUGAACCCCUGGGAUCAGGAAGUGCCAAUGCCUGGGUCUUGCUAAAGCCAUUUACCGUCGACAGAUAUCCCACCGAUGGCCAAGUGCCAGUUAGUCACGGCCUCAGUGCAGCACCUCAUCCCUCCCAGAAAGCCAUGGCUCUGGACUCCACCCACUGAAAACAGGGCUUUUGUGGGAAUACAAUGGGACAAGAAGAAAAACAUGCUGAACCUGAUCUCCAUGGGACCUGAUGUGGAGUCACGUUCAUUCACAUCACUGGCUUGCAGCCUCUCCACUCACAAGUUAUUGAUAAUCGAAAAAAUAAAACACCAUGCGAUCGUAUUUCUGGGCAGAUAGAAUGCAAGAGCCUGGGGCACUGGUUGUUUCUGGGGAGGGGAAGGGAACCGAGAGACCCAAGAAGAGGGUGGACAAGCUAGGCACGGUGGCUCACCCCUGUAAUCCCAGCAUUUUGGGAGGCCAAGGCAGGCAGACACUUGAGGUCAGGAGUUCGAGAUCACCCUGGCCAACAUGGUGAAACCCUGUCUCUACUAAAAACAUAAAAAUUAGCCAGGCGUGGUGGCAGGUGCCUAUAAUCGCAGCCACUCAGGAGUCUGAGGCAGGGGAAUCACUUGAACCUGGAGGCAGAGAUUGCAGUAACCGGAGAUCGUGCCAUUGCAUUCCAUCCUGGGCGACAGAGCGAAACUCCGUCUCAAAGAAAAAAAUAAAAGGACUAUGAGUGGGAGCAGAUGUAGGGAGAUGCAAGGGACGGAGUAUCAGGAGAACAGUACCUGUUCUGGGCUCUCCGCUAAUCAAACCCAACCACCAGGCAGAGGCAUGGGAGACCCCCACACACAGAGCAGGGUGGAGACAGGAGAAGCGAUCGCAGAAGAGGCCAGACCACCACCCAAUAGAUGUGGGUAACUAUUCAAAACUCAGAUCAUCUGAACAGAAAAAGGUAAAUGCUAUGAGCUAAAAACUUCAAGGUUCUUUGCAUCAGUGCCCUUUUUUUUUUUUCCUGAAGUUAUUUCAAGUUGGAUUUCUACCACUUGCAAACCAAAGAGUCUUGCCGAACAGAGACGGAAACAUGGAAGAUUUCAUUGAAGUGGAAACCUGGCAUUGUAAUUGCCCACUGCUUGUAAAAUUCAGGCCAGUGUGGUGGCUCACGCCUGUAAUCCCAACACUUCGGGAGGCUGAGGUGGGCAGAUCGCCUGAGCCCAGAAGUUCAAGACCAGCCUGGGCAACAUGGCAAGACCCUGUCUCUAUAAAAAAUUUUGGUUUAAAGCUAAGUGCAGUGGCUCACACCUGUAAUGCCAACUCUUUGGGAGGCUGAAGCAGGUUAAUUGCUUGAGCCCAGGAGGUCGAGACCAAACUGGGCAACAUAGUGAGACCCCAUCUCUAAAAAAAGAGAAGAAAAGAAAAUCAGCAGGGAGUGUUGGCACAUGCCAGUGGUCCCAGCUAUUCAGGAGGCCGAGGUGGAAGAAUCACCUGAACCCAGGAAGGUCAAGGCUGCAGCAAGCUGUGAUAGUGCCACUGCACUCCAGCCUGGACAACAGAGCAAGACCCUGUCUCAAAAUAAGUACAUAGGCUGGGCGAGGUGGCUCAUGCCUGUAAUCCUAGCACUUUGGGAGGUCGAGGCGGGCAGAUCAUUUGGGGUAAGGAGUUCGAGACCAGUUUGGCCAACACGGUGAAACCCCGUCUCUACUAAAAAUACAAAAAAAAUUAGCUGGGUGUGGUGGCACAUGCCUGUAAUCCCAGCUACUUGGGGAGGCUGAGGCAGAAGAAUUACUUGAACCUGGGAGACAGAGAUCGCGUCACUGCACUCCAGCCUGGUUGACAGUGCGAGACUCUCAAAAAAAAUUGGCCAGGCAUAGUGGCUCACGCCUGUAAUCCUAGCACUUUGGGAGGCCGAGGUGGGUGGAUCACCUGAGGUCAGGAGUUCGAGACCAGCCUGGCCAACGUGGCGAAACCCCGUCUCUACUAAAAAAUACAAAAAUUAGCUGGGCAUGGUGGCACAUGCCUGUAAUCCCAGCUACUUGCGAGGCUGAGGCUGGAGAAUCACUUGAACCUGGGAGGCAGAGGUUGCAGUGAGCUGAGAUCGCGCCACUGCACUACAGCCUGGGUGACAGAGUGAGACUCUGUCUCAAAAAAAAAAAAAAUCAAUUAAUUUAGCUUAAUUCAGCUGCUUCACCUUGGCCUACAAGGGGCUGGGCCACCCUGUCCAAUCCAUGAUCACCUUUUUCCACUGUCCACCUGCAGUGCACAGCAAGUCGCCUACAGCUCCUCCCAUACCCACAGCCCCUUCCUGCCUGGGACCUUCGCCCAUGCUGUUCCUCCUGCCUGAACCCCUCUCCUAGCUCUUCCUCCCAUCAGCACCUCAUUGUCAUCCCUUCCCUAUCCUGUGGUCUGAAUGUUUGUGUCCUCCCAAAGUUCAUAUGUGGAAUCCUAGCCCCCCAGGUGGUGGUAUUAAGAGGUGGGGACUUUGGGGGCAGGAUUAGUUCCCUUAUCAAAGAGGCCCAAGGGAGCUUGUUUGUCCCUUGCACCAGGUGAGGGCCCCGCAAGAAGGUGCCCUUGCUGGAGAUCCCAGACUCUAUGAGAAAUAUUGUUUAUAAGUAACCCAGUUUAUGUUUUUUUGGUUUUUUGGUUUUUUUUUUUCAAGGUGGAGUCUCGCUCUGUGGCCCAGGCAAUCUCGGCUCACUACAACCUCCGCCUCCCAGGUUCAGGCGAUUCUCCUUCCUCAGCCUUCUGAGUAGCUGGAAUUACAGGCACCCGCCACCAUACCCAUCUAAUUUUUGUAUUUUUAGUAGAGACGAGGUUUCACCAUGUUGGCCAGGCUGGUCUCGAACUCCUGGCCUCAAGCAAUCCUCCCGCCUCGGCCUCCCAAAGUGUUGGGAUUACAAGCAUGAGUCACCAUGCCUGGCCUAUGGUAUUUUUUUAUAGCAGCAGGAACAGACUAAGACAUCCUACUUCUCAGCUUAAACGUCACCUCUGCACAGAGCCCUUCGUGAUACAUCUGAACAGAUUCUUUUCUGUGACUCUCCAUCCCUGCACUGUAUUUGCUCUUUCAGGGUGCUUUUUCACAUUUGUGAGGGUGUAUGCAUCUCCUCUUCCAGGCUGUAAGCUUCAUAAAGUCUCUGUUUUGUUCAUAACUAGAACAAGCCCUAGCACCUAGCAGUGAGUGUUCAUUAAACAUAUGAAGAAUGAAUCAGCGAGUGAUUUCAUGUCUCAUCAUCUCUAAAAAGCCUGUUUGAUCACUUCCAGGACCAGGAAACUCCUGACAUUAUCAAGGAUGCCACUGCAAAGUGAAAUGUCAUAAACAUGUAGGAGUUGAUUCUUUCCAGAAGCUGGCAGUCCAGGACUAGUGUGGGGGCUCCACAGUGUCACCAGAGCUUUGACCUUCCUGCCCUACCAUCUUCAGUGGGUGGCUUCUGUACUCAGGGUUACCUCAUGGUCCAAGAUGGCUGCUGGACUCUAGCCAUUAUAUCCAAAUACCAGGUAGAAUAGAGGACAAAAGCAGUGAACCUCAAGGCUGAGGCUCCUGGAAGCCUCAUACACUUUUACCUACUACAGUCCAUGGAACAUAGUGUAGUCACGGGGCCACACCAAAAUGCAAGAGAGACUGGGAAAUGUCUUCAUUCCAGGCAGCACGAUCUGAAUCUGUUAUUAAGGAAAAAAAUAGGAAGAAUGGAUAUUGGGUAUGUAACUAGCUACAAAUGAUCAUGGCAUCUCCGUUUAUUGAGCACUUAUUAUGUGCUAGACACAGUCCUAAGUACUUAAUAAAUGUGGCCCGGUCAAACAAGAUUGCCCUCUGCCCCCAAGAUUGCCCUCUGCCCCUUCUGUAGCCAGGGACACACACACACACGCACGCACGCAUGUACAGGAGCCAGUUGGGCCUGGCCCCCUUCACUGCGGGUACUGACAUGCGAAGUCUUUGUCAUAUGACUCUGAGCAGGGAGGGAGCAGUGUCCUCUUAGCAUAAUAAGAUCAGGAUUCAUAACAUUAAAUCAAAGUGCUGUAACUCACAGGAAUAUCAGUUUCCUAUUCAGAAGAUAGAGGAGAAUGUUUUCAGAAGGAAAUUGAACUUUAUGGUUUGAAACACGUUUAAUUUUAAAUAUGUUGAGAGAAAACCAGCUACAGCCUGGCAUGGAAACUCCUGUUGUUCCAGCCAAUGCCUUGGAGAACCAGAGACCACGCCCCCUUCCUCCCUGCUGAGGAGUCAACGAACGAGACCAAAGUCCCCUGUUCUUCUCUGCAGUCAGCAGAAAUCAGAGAAGAACAUCUUUAGACAGUCAGCAGACUCAGGAACUGUGUACUCUAGGACUUUUUAAAAAUUUUUUUACUUUUAUUUUUUUGAGACGGAGUCUCGCUCUGUCGCCCUGGCUGGAGUGCAGUGGCGUGAUCUCAGCUCACUGCAACGUCCACCUCCCAGGUUCAAGCUAUUCUCCUGCCUCAGCCUCCCGAGUAGUUAGGAUUACAGGCGCCUGCCACCACACCCGGCUAAUUUUUGUAUUUUUAAUAAAGACAAGGUUUUGCCAUGUUGGCUAAGCUGUUCUCCAACUCCUGACCUCAGGUGAUCCACCUGUCCCAGCCUCCCAAAGUGCUGGGAUUACAGGCAUGAGCCACCGCACCCAGCCUGGGACUUUUUUAUUUUUACAGAGAUGGGUGAUGAUUCAUGGGACGUUGGAGAUGCCCCAAGACUGGAGAUAUGAUUUGGGGGAUCCUGAGGAUUGGUGACCUAGGCAAAACUUGGGGAGGCUGGAUCCUGGGUAUGGAGUAGCCAAUCUGAAUAAAGACCCCUGCGCCAAAGGUUGGCACAGAAAUAGUGGUCUUGCCAGCCUUCAGGGGAGGCCCACACCAGUCCUAGACUGCCUGCUUCUGGAAGGAAUCAACUCUUACAUGUUUAUGCCAUUUCACUUUGGGUUUUCUGUUCUAUACAGCUAAACCUAAUACUGGACUGAUACAUUAUUAUUAUUUUCAGAACCAACCAAAGCUGGAAUAACACUCUUGAUAAUGCCAGUUUCCUGGUCCUAGAAGUGAGCUAACAGGCUUUUCAGAGAUGACGAGAUGUGAAAUCCCUCACUGAUUCAUGCUUCAUGUGUUUAAUGAGCACCCACUAGGUGCUAAGCCUUGUUCUAGUCAGGAAUAAAACCGAUACUUCACGAGGUUUACAGCCUGGUGGAGGAGACGUGUAUCAGGCUAGUGCGUGUAGACCAAAGGCCAGAGGCGCCCACUCAAGCAUUUCCACCUACAUGAGAAUCCCAUAGUCUUUUUAGAAGAAUAGAAAUAGUAAGCCCUGAGUCACGACUGCAUUUGAAUGCCACCUUACCUGAAGUCUGAAUCAGGGAUAAUUUGAUUUCAGAAGAAUAAAAUGAGGCUCCUAACACCUGUCCCAAAUUGCAAGGAAAUGAGGGUAUUCUCUUUUUUUUUUUUUUUUCUGAGAUGGAGUCUCGCUCUAUCGCCCAGGCUGGAGUGCAGUGGCGCGAUCUCGGCUCACUGCAAGCUCCACCUCCCGGGUUCACGCCAUUCUCCUGCCUCAGCCUCCUGAGUAGCUGGGACUACAGGCGCCCGCCACCACGCCCAGCUAAUUUUUUGCAUUUUUAGUAGAGACGGGGUUUCACCGUGUUAGCCAGGAUGGUCUCGAUCUCCUGACCUCGUGAUCCGCCCGCCUCGGCCUCCCAAAGUGCUGGGAUUACAGGCGUGAGCCACCGCGCCCAGUUGAAAUGAGGGUAUUCUCUAAGAGGCAGAUGACAGAACCUACUGCAAUGAAUUUGUCAAGCUCAAGGCUAAGGACACAGUCCCUCCACAAGGCAGCCUUCACUUCAAAUGCCAGGUGCAACUGGGGAUUCCUGGGCCACCCUCACUUCUGACCGCUUGGCUGCAUUGAGGGUUCCCACUACCCCCUGUGGUUCAAUAAUUCACUAGAAUGACUCAUGGAACUCAGGAAAGUGCCCCGCCUCAUAACGACAGUUUUUAUGAUAGCAAACAGACACAGAUCAGAACCAGCCACAAGAAAGGACAUAGAGGGUGAGGUGCGGAAGGGGUUCAAGUGCAAAGCUCCUAGUUACCUUCUCUCCAGACAGUCACCUCCCCCCAGCUAUGAUGCGUGAUGACACUCAGAGAAUACUGCUAACCAGAGAAGCUCCUGAGGCUUUGGUGUCCAGCGUUUUUGGGGGUUUUGUUUUUGUUGUUGUUGUUUCUGAGAUGGAGUCUCGCUCUCGUCGCCCAGGCUGGAGUGCUGUUGCGUGAUCUCAGUUCACUGCAACCUCCACCUCCUGGGUUCAAGCGAUUCUCCCGCCUCAGCCUCCAGAGUACGAGUAGCUGGGAUUACAGGCAUGCACCAUGCCCAGCUGAUUUUGUAUUUUUAGUAGAGACAGGGUUUCACCAUGUUGGCCAGGCUGAUCUCAAACUCCUGACAUCUGGUGACCCGCCCCCCUCAGCCUCCUGAAGUGCUGGGAUUACAGGCAUGAGCCACUGCCAGCCAGUGUCCAGCGUUUUUUAGUGGGGCUUGAUCCCUUACUGCCAGUGUGGCUGACCUUUCAUCUCCAGUCUCUCCUGAGCUAACUCUUGUGUAUCCAGCUCAUCUGGAGGUUGGAACUGAUACAGGAUGUUCCAAAGCCUUCAUUACAGAUCACAUUGUUAGACUAUCUGGUGGCCAAAGGCCCCAGGCAAACACAGACACUUCCAUCAGACAGGACGUUAAGGGGCCUAGAGAUCACCUCCCAGCAACUGAAGGCAAAGAUAAUCCUCCUACUGUACAUCCUUUUUUUUUCUUUUUUUUUUUUUAAGAGACAGGGUUUCAUUCUGUCGCCCAGGCUGGAGUACAGUGACACACUCAUGGCUUGCUGCAGCCUCGACCUCCUGGGCUCAAGCAAUCCUCCUGUAGCUGGGACUACAGGUGUGCACCACCACACCCCGCCAACUAUACAUCCACCACCACCCUGUCCUCUCAGCCCCCAAAGUCAUGAGGCUUUGACUAGGUAUCAGGAUGUCUUCAAAUGAAAAUUAAUGAAAACAGCGGGCCCGGUGGCUCACACCUGUAAGCCCAGCACUUUGGGAGGCCGAGACAGGUGGAUCACCUGAGAUCGGGAGUUCAAGAACAGCCUGAUCAACAUGGAGAAACCCUGUCUCUGCUAAAAAUACAAAAAAAGUAGCUGGGCAUGAUGGCACAUGCCUGUAAUCCCAGCUACUUGGGAGGCUGAGGCAGGAGAAUUGCUUGAACCCGGGAGGUGGAGGUUGUGGUGAGCCGAGAUCAUGCCAUUGUACUCCAGCCUGGGCAACAAGAGUGAAACUUCGUCAAAAAAAAAAAAAAGAAAAAAAGAAAAGAAAAUUAAUAAAAACAAAAAUCCAAAGUUGGACACACACACAGAGAACACCUUAGGACAAUAGAGGUACACCGUGGAGUGCUGCAGCAGCAAGCCAAAGAUUGCCAAGGAUUACCAGAGACGUGAGACGUUGGAAAGGGCAAGAGUGGAAUCUCCCCUCUCCCCCAAGUUUGAGAGGGGGCCAAGCCUUACCGACACCUUAAUUUGAGGCCUCUAGUCUCUAGAAAUGCAAUGUGCAAGGCGGGGCGCGGUGGCUCACGCCUGUAAUCCCAGCACUUUGGGAGGCUGAGGCGGGCCUUAAGGUCAGGAGUUCAAGACCAGCCUGGCCAACAUGGUGAAACCCUGCCUCAAAAUGCAAAAAGUAGCCAGGCGUGGUGGCAUGUGCCUGUAAUCCUAGCUACUCAGGAGGCUGAGGCAGGAGAAUCACUUGAACCCAGGAGGCAGAGGUUGCAGUGAGCCGAGAUCACACCAGUGCACUCCAGCCUGGGCAACAGCGUGAGACUCCAUCUCAAAAAAAAAAAAAAGGGCCGGGUGCAGUGCUCACGCCUGUAAUCCCAGCACGUUGGGAGGCUGAGGUGGGAGGAUCACCUGAGGCCAGGAGUUCAAGACCAGCCUGGCCAAUAUGGUGAAACUCUGUCUCUACUAAAAAUUCCAAAAAAAUUUAGCAGGGUGUGGUGGCGCAUGCCUGUAAUCCCAGCUACUCGGGAGACUGAGACAGGAGAAUUGCUUGAACCCGGGAGGUGGAGGUUGCAAUGAGCUGAGAUGGCGCCACUGCACUCCAGCCUGGGAGACAGAGUGAGACUCCGUCUCAAAACAAAACAAAACAAAAAUGCGACGUGCAGUGAUGUGCUCCAGCUGGUGUGAUCCCCUUGGGGAUGUGGCAAUGGAUGGGCAUCCCCAGACUUGAUGAUCAUCCCUUUGUCUCUUACCAGCAAUCCCCAAACCAAUUCACAAGUUCUGUUUUGUUUUGGUUUGGUUUUUUGUUUGUUUUUUGAGACAGAGUCUCACUCUGUCGCCCGGGCAGGAGUGCAGUGACAUGAUCAUAUCUCACUGCAGCCUCAAACUCCCAGGCUCAAGUGAUCCUCCCACCUCAGCCUCCCUAGUAGCUGGGACUACAGGUGUGCACCACCAUGCCUGGCUAACUUUUUUCAUUUUUUGUAGAGAUGGGGGUCUCCCUAUGUUGCCCAGGCUGGUUUCGAACUCCUGGGCUCAAGUGAUCCUCCCAUCUCAGCCUCCCAAAGUGCUGGCAUUACAGGCGUGAGCCACCGUGCCCGGCCACAAGAUAUUUUUUAAGCAUGGAGGUUUCUGUGCAUUGGAUUCCCCUCUUUGAGCUUCACCAUAUAUAUUUGUCCAAGGGCAGGGAGAUCCGGUGUAAUCUGCUUACACAAUAUUCCUGGAGAAGUUCUUCUUUCAGUAAAUACUUGUACAUCUCUGCAGAGUGACAGCAGGUUCUCCAGCAAACACCUUGGGGAGCCCAACCCUUUCCUGGGAAUGCCCCUGUGUUAAUGGGAAUCAAAGCUGAGAGCAGGUGGGGAGAGUACAUUCUUGGCUUAUCAGCUUCCAACAGAAAGGGGAAAUAAAAACAGAUGCAAUCUUUUAUUGCAAAGGGAUGGGUGCCUCUAAGAUCAGAUAAAGCCCAUAUAGGAUUAUGCAGAAACUGGUGUAAAUUUGCAGGUCAUCAAGACUCAAUGUCCCCUCCCUCCCCACACUGUCCACCUCUGGACCAUUUUGCACUUUAUAUUUUCUGAGAAAGGAGGCAGAGGGGAAGAAGGGGUUCAAAGGUGUCAGCCUGGCUCCUGGUGACCAGCUCUGUUUAGCAGGAAGUUAGCUGGAACAACUGAUUGAGCCCUGGGAUAAUCUAUGCUGUCACUGUGGACACAGCGGAGCAGAGGGCACACACAGUGGAGGGCACACACAGCGGAGGACAGACACAGUGGAGGGCACACACAGUGGAGGGCACACACAGCGGAGGGCACACACAGUGGAGGGCACACACAGCGGAAGGCACACACAGUGGAGUUACCUCUGAUCCCCAUGCCCUACGGGGCUGCCACCUUCCUGCCAGGGUUUGGAUCAUCACAGUCAUUUGCAUCUUCACUCCACAGCGUGAGUGCACAUACACAUCUGUUUUAUUGCAUUUGGCCCUUAUAGGAAUGAGUGGGAUAUGGGGAAAUGAAAAGGCUGAGACUGCGAUAAAAAAUGUAGCUCUUAGGCCAGGUGCGGUGGCACAUGCCUGUAAUCCUAGCACUUUGGGAGGCCGAGGUGGACAGAUCACCUGAGUUCAGGAGUUUGAGACCAGCCUGGCGAACAUGGUGAAACCCCAUCUCUACUAAAAAUACAAAAAUUAGCCAGGCGUGGUGGUGGGUGCCUGUAGUCCCAGCUACUCAGGAGGCUGAGGCAGGAGAAUCCCUUGAACUCGGGGGUCAGAGGUUGCAGUGGGAUUGCACCGCUGCACUCCAGCCUGGGCGACAGAGUGAGACUCCAUCUCAAAACAAAACGAAUCGAAUCAAAUGUAGCUCUUGAAACAACCAAAACAAAGUUAAAGUUGUAAAGAGUGGAAAGUCCUUAGCAUUGAUCAGAAUUAAUCUUUGGCCAGGUGCAGUGGCUCACGCCUAUAAUCCCAGCACUUUGGGAGGCUAAGGUGGGAGGAUCAUUUGAGCCCAAUUUGAGACUAGCCCAGGCAACAUAGUGAGAUCUCAUUUCUACUGGAAAUGAAAAAAUUAGCCAGGCAUGGUGGCAUCUGCCUAUAAUCCUGGCUACUCAGGAGGCUGAAGUGGGAGGAUUGUUUGAGUUUGGGAGGUCGAGGCUGCAGUGAGCUAGGAUGGCACCACUGCACUCCAGCCUGGGCAACAGAGUGAGACCCUGUCUCAAAAAAAAAAAAGAAUUCUCAAUCUUCUCCCCGACCACAGCCUUCCUCAAGUAAGCUAAAAACAAACAUCCUCUACAUUGUUUGAGUCAAAUAUUGGCUUUAUCCUUGACACCUCACUUUCUUUCCUAUCCCAUAGUCAAUUGGUCUAGAAAUAAAAAUAAAAGUUUCCCCAGAAUUAAAAAAAAAAAAAAAUCCCAAAGUUGGGUGGGCUUGAUGGUAUAUGUUAUUAGGAGUCUAGGUUUUCUCAGUCUACAGCAUCAGCUUCUGUGAAGGCUGAUUCCCCUCAUGGUCACAAAGUGGCUGCCACCACUCACUCAGGCACCUUUGUCUCCUCUGGGGAGAAGGAGGAGCUGCUCACCCUCAUCAGCCCAGAGUAAGCCCCGCCUUGCAUCUCGUUGGUCCACUGGCUUAGGCCCAGUCAAUCACUGGCAAAUGGGGAUGGAAUUAGCAGCACUGACUAAGCUCAUUGGAUCUCAAAGUGUGGUCCCAGGGCCAGCAGCAUUGGCCUCACCUGGGAACUUGUUAGAACGGCACAUCCUCAAGCCUCACCUCAAACCUGCUGAAUCAGAAACUCGGGGUGGGGCCCAGUGAGCUGGAUUUGUUUCCCAAGCCCUCUAGGGAAUUCUAGUUUGUGCUCCCACUGAAGAACUUCUGCCUUGAUUAAAAGCUUUGUUAACCAUCCUCAAGGUCCAGGCCUGAUAGUGACUUUGGAGGAAGGUGGGUGAGAUGCUGUGAGUGUGGGAGGGGAAGAGUGGCCUCUUCAGUGGGUACCGCAGGUCACUCUGUGGGCGACGACAUCGCAGGGACAACGUGGACCCAGGAGUCCCCAUCUACAGUCCCUGGUCUGGCUGGAGACAGUGAGGGAAACCUCCUCUACGAUCCCCCAAAGGAAAGGCAGAAACCCACUGGGCAGAAAAGGAGAGCAUCUUCACACACCUUAUCCCAUUUUUGUCUCAUAGCUGUCCUUUAAAAGAGAUGUUAUUAAAUUCCCAUUUUAGGCUGGGGCAGUGGCUGACGCCUGUAACCCCAGUACUUUGGGAGGCUGAGGUGGGCGGAUCACUGAGGUCAGGAGUUCGAGACCAGCCUGGACAACAUGGUGAAACCCCAUCUCUACUCAAAAAAUACAAAAUUCCUAUCAGCCGGGCGUGAUGGUGCAUGCCUGUAAUCCCAGCUACUCGGGAGGCUGAGGCAGAAGAAUUGCUUGAACCUGGGAGGCGGCACCUGCAGUGAGCCGAGAUCGCGACACUGCACUCCAGCCUGGGCAACAUAGUGAGGUUCUGUCUCAAAAAUAAAUAAAAAUAAAUUCCCAUUUUAGCAAUGAGGAAACUGGGAUUCAGAGAAGUUGAGGGCCGAGUGUGGUGGCUGACGCCUGUAACCCCAGCACUUUGGGAGGCCGAGGUGGGCGGAUCACCUGAGGUCAGGAGUUCAAGACCAGCCUGGCCAACAUGGUGAAACCCAGUCUCUACUAGUAAUAAAAAUUAGCCGGGUGGGGUGGUGCGUGCCUGUACUCCCAGCUACUCGGGAGGCUGAGGCAGGAGAAUUGCUUGAACCCGAAAGGCGGAGGUUGCAGUGAGCCGAGAUUGUACCAUUGCACUCCAGCCUGGGAGACAGAGUGAGACUCCAUCUCAAAAAAAAAAAAAAAAAAAAAAAAAAGAGAGAAGUCAAGGCUACAUGGUUAUCCACCGACAUGGGGUCCUAAUGUCUAUGUCAUAUAUGUCAGAUGAGAUGUCCAGUCUCUCUGCCAGUGACGUGCCAAGGGCGGGGCAGUGGGGCACUUUGCAUCAGAGCGGGGCAUUUAGUGUACACAAUGUGAAAGCCAGAAUGAAACCAACUAGGCGGGGUGAGGUGGCUCAUAGCUGUAAUCCCAAUACUUUGGGAGGGGUGGGAAGAUCGCUUGAGUCCAGGAGUUCAAAACCAGCCCAGGCACCACAGCAAGACCUCAUCGCUACAAAAAAAAAAAAAAAAAAAAAAAAAAAAAAAAAGCUAGUUGCAGCGGCAUGAGCCUGUAGUCCCAGCUACUUGGGAGGCUGAGGCAGGAGAAUCUCUUGAGCCCAGGAGUUUGAGGAUACAGUGAGCUAUGAUCACACCACUGCACUCUAGCCUGGGCAACAGCAAGCCUCCAUCCAAAAAAGAAAAAAAAAAAAAGAAGAAGAAAAUCAGCUAAAAGUCAGUGUGCUUUUUAUUCUCACUAUGCUAUUGCAAUUCUAAACUAUAUCAGUGAUAAAAUACUCUUCCUCAAGUUGAUAUAACUUCUAAAUAUUUACCAUAAUUACUGCUGAGUUUUAGUAAUAUAAAUAACAUAAUCCUAUAACUACAAUAUAAAUAAAAUACAAAAUAUAACACAAAUAAUAUAAAUUUAAAAAUAGCUUUUUUUUUUCUUUGAGGUGGAGUCUUGCUCUGUCACCCAGGCUGCAGUGCAGUGGCGCAAUCUCGGCUGUCUGCAACCUCCACCUCCCAGGUUCAAGUGAUUCUCCUGCCUCGGCCUCCCGAGUAGCUGGGAUUACAGGCACCUGCCACCACACCCAGCUGAUUUUUGUAUUUUUAGCAGUGAUGGGGUUUCACCAUAUUGGCCAGGCUGGUCUUGAACUCCUGACCUCAGGUGAUUCACCCGCCUCCGCCUCCCAAAGUGCUGGGAUUACAGGCAUGAGCCACCGCACCCGGCCAAAAUAGCUUUUUUUUUUUUUUUUUUUUUGAGACGGAGUCUCACUCUGUCACCCAGGCUGGAGUGCAGUGGCACAAUCUCGGCUCACUGCAACCUCCAUCUCCCAGAUUCAAGCGAUUCUCCUGCCUCAGCCUCCUGAGUAGCCGGGACUACAGGCAUGUGCCAGUGCGCCAGGGUAAUUUUUUUAUUUUUACUAAAGACGGCAUUUCGCCAUGGUCGUCAGGCUGGUCUCGAACUCCUGACCUCAAGUGAUCCACCCGUCUCAGCCUCCCAAAGUGUUGGGAUUACAGGCGUGAGCCACCGGACUCGGCUAAUAACUUAUGUUUUAAUAAACAUUGUCAUACACAUGAAAGUUAAUUCAGAGAAUUCCCACUUCUGCAGCUCGUCCCUGGCACAUUGUGGAUUCAGUUAUAGCCAUGAUGGUUUGAAGGAAGUUUAUAAUAAUGCAUAAUCACUGGGCAUAGUUUAUAACUACAACCCCAAAGGUGCUACGUAUUCCUGCAUUUAAACCAUAGAUUUUUAAAAAAUUAUAGUGCAAUGAUUGUAAAGACAAAAAAAACAGAACUUGGUCUAUUUCAAUUUGUCACUCUAGGGGUACAUUUGGAGUUUUUAUUUGUGUUUAAAAUAUAAAACAGUGAGAGUAUGAACAGCAGGGUGUAAUUUUUUUUUUUUUUUUUUUUUUUUUGAGACAGAGUUUUGCUCUUGUUGCCCAGGCUGGAGUGCAAUGGCACGAUCUCAGCUCACUGCAACCUCCACCUCCCAAGUUCAAGCGAUUCUCCUGCUUCAGCCUCCCGAGUAGCUAGGAUUACAGGCAUGCACCACCAUGUCCAGCUAAUUUUUGUAGUUUUAGUUGAGACAGGGUUUCUCCAUGUUGGUCAGGCUGGUCUCGAACUCCUGACCUCGGGUGAUCUGCCCGCCUUGGCCUCCCAAAGUGCUGGGAUUAUAGGCGUGAGCCACUGCGCCCGGCCAGCAGGGUGUAAUACUUUUGUUUAGUAAAGUUCACGUGUGAAAUAGUUUACUGAAUUUAAAUAAUACCUUUAAAAUUGAAAUGUAUUCUUCUUUCCUAAUUGUUAAUUGUUUUGAAAUGAAGGAAUGAAUUAAGAAAAUGAUGAUCAUUGAUGAUUACAUGAUUGAUACUGAAAAUAUUUUUGUCAUUUAUAGGAAGGGAGGGUUUAAAAAUGAUGUGCUCGGGGUCAAAUACAGUCCUUGAAAUAAAUAUCUGAGGACAGGCAUGGCGCAGUGGCUCAUGCCUGUAAUCCCAGCACUUUGGGAGGCCGAGGCGGGUGGAUCACGAGGUCAGGAGAUUGAGGCCAUCCUGGUUAACACGGUGAAACCCCGUCUCUACUAAAAAUACAAAAAAAAAUUAGCCGGACGUGGUGGCGGGCGCCUGUAGUCCCAGCUACUCGGGAGGCUGAGGCAGGAGAAUGGCGUGAACCCAGGAGGCGGAGCUUGCGGUGAGCUGAGAUUGCGCCACUGCACUCCAGCCUGGGCGACAGAGCGAGACUCUGUCUCAAUAAAUAAAUAAAUAAAUAACUGAGGACGAUUUUCACACCCUGCUGGGAGUUCUGUCUUCCUAACUACAGGGCCCUAAUUCCUCUACCCAUUCCUCAGCUGACACAUUUCAGACAACCUGCAUACCUGCCCUGGUUACCUCUAGAGCCUGGUGGGGAUCUUCUAAGAAGUGAGCACAAGUUUUAGAACCAGAGGGCCUGUAUUCAAAUGUUGGAUUUGGCCGCGUGACCUUGGGCAACUCAUUUUCCCUCUGAGCCUGUUUCCUCAUGACUACAAUUUGGUGAAGGAUCUUUAUAAUCUCAGGGUUAAUAUGAGGAUUAGAUUGGCUAAUUUUUUUUUAUCGUCUAGGUGUGAUUAUUUAUGCUCUUUCCUUCCACACCUUCUAAGGGAAGACAAUUCUUGCCUAGUCAGCUCCAUAUCUCCCCUUUAUCAGGCAGAAUCCCAGCAAUAGGCUGUGUCUUGAGACAAAAGUUGUCAGAUAAUUUGAGACCUGGGCAUACCACUUCCUCUCUGCAUACUAUUGUGAGAGAAGAAGAAAUGUUUUAAAGAAGUCUUACUCUGCACUGAAAAUGUACAUGCUACAAAACCACACCUAUUAGAAUGGCUAAAAUUAAAAGGACUGACAAUAACAAGUGCUGACAAGGAUGUGUGGCAGCUGGAACACCUAUACAUUGCUGUUUGAAGUAUAAAGUGGAGGGCCAGGCACGGUGGCUCAAGCCUGUAAUCCCAAUGAGAGGUGACAGCGUGCUGGCAGCCCUCACAGCCCUCCCUCGCUCUCGGCGCCUCCUCUGCCUGGGCUCCCACUUUGGCCACACUUGAGGAGCCCUUCAGCCCGCCGCUGCACUGUGGGAGCCCCUUUCUGGGCUGGCCAAGGCUGGAGCCAGCUCCCUCAGCUUGCAGGGAGGUGUGGAGGGAGAGGCGGGAGCGGCAACUGGGGCUGUGCGGGUUGGCACUUGUGGGCCAGCUGGAGUUCCGGGUGGGCGUGGGCUUGGCGGGCCCCACACUCGGAGCAGCCGGCCGGCCCUGCCACCCCGGGCAAUGAGGGGCUUAGCACCCGGGCCAGCAGCUGCGGAGGGUGUACUGGGUCCCCCAGCAGUGCCGGGCCACGGGCGCUGUGCUCUAUUUCUCGCCGGGCCUUAGCUGCCUUCCUGCGGGGUAGAGCUUGGGACCUGCAGCCCGCCAUGCCUGAGCCCCCACCCGCACCCCCCUCCACCGCCUCCGUGGGCUCCUGUGCAGUCGGAGCCUCCCCGAUGACCACCGCCCCCUGCUCCACGGCGCCCAGUCCCAUCGACCACCCAAGGGCUGAGGAGUGUGGGCGCACGGCGGGGGACUGGCAGGUGGCUCCACCUGCAGCCCCAGUGGGAGAUCCACUGGGUGAAGCCACCUGGGCUCCUGACUCUGGUGGGGACUUGGAGAACCUUUAUGUCUAGCUAAGGGAUUGUAAAUACACCAAUAGGCACUCUGUAUCUAGCUCAAGGUUUGUAAACACACCAAUCAGCACCCUGUGUCUAGCUCAGGGUUUGUAAAUACACCAAUCGGCACUCUGUAUCUAGCUACUCUGGUGGGGACUUGGAGAACCUUUGUGUCCACACUCUGUAUCUAGCUAAUCUAGUGGGGAAGUGGAGAACCUUUGUGUCUAGCUCAGGGAUUGUAAACGCACCAAUCAGCACCCUGUCAAAACAGACCACUCGGUUCUCUGUAAAAUGGACCAAUCAGCAGGAUGUGGGUGGGGCCAGAUAAGAGAAUAAAAGCAGGCUGACCAAGCCAGCAGUGGCAGCCCGCUCGGGUCCCCUUCCACACUGUGGAAGGCUUGUUCUUUUGUUCUUUCGCCCUUUGCAAUAAAUCUUGCUACUGCUCACUCUUUGGGUCCACACUGCCUUUAUGAGGUAUAACACUCACUGCGAAGGUCUGCAGCUUCACUCCUGAAGCCAGCGAGACCAUAAACCCACCAGGAGGAACAAACAACUCCAGACACGCCGCCUUAAGAGCUGUAACAGUCACCCCAAAGGUCCGCAGCUUCACUCUUGAGCCAGUGAGACCACGAACCCACCAGAAGGAAGAAACUCCGAACACAUCCAAACAUCAGAAGGAACAAACUCCAGAUACGCCACCUUUAAGAACUGUAACACUCACUGGGAGGGUCCAUGGCUUCAUUCUUGAAGUCAGUGAGACCAAGAACCCACCAAUUCCGGACACACCAAUACUUUGAGAGGCUGAGGCGGGUGUUCACUUGAGCCAAGUUCAAGACCAGCUCGGGCAACAUGGCAAAACCCCGUCUCUACAAAAAAAAUACAAAAAUCAGCUGGGCGUGGUGGGGCCUGCCUGUAGUUCCAGCUACUCAAGAGGCUGAGGUUCGAGGAUCACUUAAGUCCUGGAGGUGCUGCUGUGAUCUUGCCACUGCACACCAGCCUGGACGAUAAAGUGAUACCCUGUCUCAAGGAAAAAAAAAAAAGAGAGAUCAAUUGCUGGGCGUGGUGGCUUAUGCCUGUAAUCCCAGCGCUUUGGGAAGCCAAGGCAGGCAAUUGCUUGAGCUGAGUUCGAGACCAGCCUGGGCAACAUGGUGAAACCCCAUCUCCACUAAAAAUACAAAAAUUAGCUGGGCAUGGUGGUGCGCUCCUAUAAUCCCAGGUACUCAGGAGGCUGAGGCAGGUGGCGGAGGUUGCAGUGAGCUGAGAUUGCACCAUUGCACUCCAGCCUGGGCGACAGAGCAAGUGGUACUCCAUCUCAAAAAAAAAAUAAAUAAAUAAAAUAAAAAUAAAAAUAAAUAUGCAACUAUCAUAGAUCCAGCCAUUUGGUUCCUUAUCUGAGAGAAAUGAAAGUGUACGUCUACACAAAGACUUGUACACACAUGUUCAUAGUAGCUUUAUUUGUCACAGCCAAAGACUGGAAACAACCCAAAUGACCAUCAAUCAGUGAAUGGACAAAUAGAAUAUGGUCUGUCCAUAUAACUGAAUGCUACUCAGCAACAAAAAAGAAUGAACUACUGAUACACACAACAUGGACAAAUCUCAGAAUAAUACGCUGGGUGAAAGAAGCCAGACAAAAAUGAGUAUAUACUAUACAAUUUUAUAUACAUAAAAUUCUAGAAAAUGCAAACUUAUCUGCAUGAAAGAA
rnacentral:lncRNA from 1 species